UCUAAGACCUAUACCCGUAUAGCUAUCCGCCGUUCUUCUUCUAGAUUUGGACGAACAUAUACAAAAUAAGCAUCUAAAGAAGCAGCAGAGAACAAUUUCGAACCCCACCCCAUACGACCCUCCUCCUCUCCUUCACAUUCCAAUGGCUUGAACCUCGGUUUCUUCAUCCCUAAACCUUCAGCAACAACCAACGUUCACCAGUUCUAUACGCAACACCACCGCAACAACCACCCAUCGCCACUGCUUCUUUUUCUUCAUCUAUCACAGCUACAACAGCCAUGGACCUUUAGGAAAACCUCUCACCUCACACCAAACAACCCCAUCUAUGCCUCUACCAUAUCGAACCAGCAGCCAUACACACACACGCACACACAUAGAGUGAGAAGACGAAAUAGAAGGCACAUGAGAAAGAGAUGUUGAAAACAGAGAGAGCAAAAUCUCCCAUCUUCUUUUCGUCCUAAGCUCCGUCAAAAAUCAGUUUGUCACUAUUCUAACAUCUAAAACUAAUUCGCAAGACAACUACAAAAUAGAGCACAUAAAAAGUUCUGUUUCAUCUUCCUUGUUUCGGAUUUUCGCUUUUCCAAGAUGGAGUUUGAGUGAGGUCGGUUUCGUUCGAGUUGCCGGCAUGGUUCCAGCGCUGCUGCUUCUUUUCUGUUCGAGCAGAUCCAGGUACUUCGAAGUUGGUUGUUCACUAGCUAGUUGUUUGGGUUUGCUGUGGAGACUCAAGGUAAACCUAUCGUUGCGUUCGCAGGCCUCAGAGUCACCUUCUGAAAUUUCCUCUUGUACAGUUUAUUUCUAUCCCGAACAGUUGCAUUUUGGAAUUUUCUAGAAAACUUAAUAGAGCUUAUAACUUGUACUACUGGUUUUGGGAUUGUAUGUGGUGUAUAGAGAUUUAUAUUUCAUAGUCAUCAGUUGAUGGUUGAA